rnacentral:lncRNA from 1 species
AGAGAAGUGCAAGUAUGUGAUAUCCAGGUGACCUUCCUUCAGUAGCAGGUCCAGGGCAUGGAGAAGACAGACGAGGACAUAAUGAAGGGAGCUGGGGGAGCCUCAGGCUCCAACAAGGCAGAUGUGAUGAAAAGAAAAAGGCCUGGGGAUCCAGACAAACAUGGCUUCACAGCCUGGAUCCACAGCUAUUAGGUGUGUAAAUUUGGAUAAUAUUCUUCUAAUUGGGUCUAAUGUAAAAAUAACCAGAUUGCAAUGCUAUGGGGUUUUUUGAUGAGAUAGUUGAUAAUGUGGGGAUGAAAAAAUUGAUUUCCGUCCUUGGGUGCUAUAACUCUUCAGAACUCUCAUCACUUUAGUACUUAAAAAUUUCAGGAUUUGGAAGGACCCCUAGUAGUCUCUCACUUGCUUAUUUUAAAGAUGGAAAUGUAAAGAGGUUAUAGAACGUAUUUAAUGAUCAUAUUACUAUAUAAGUCAUAAAAUUCAGACUGGAAUGGAACUCAGUCCUUUUCCAGAAAGCGUAACUUGUCAACGGCAAGUAAUGAGUAAUUGAAUCGAAUUGAGUACACGUAUCCACUGAGCUGGUCCUGGGACUCCAAAGGUGAAGAAGUCGACACAGCCAACAAGGUGACAAUCUGGUUGAGCGCCAAUACAACCACAUACGACGUCUGACGAUCCAUCACAAGACAAAUACAGUGAGCCAUAUGCCCAGAGGAAGGAGAAAUGUAACUCUGUCUGAGGUAGAAGAACCUAAAGAAAUCUAACUUGCAUUUAAUAAAAGGUGGAGACCCUUCCAGGCAUCUGCCUCAGUAUUUAUUAAUUUAGCAAAUACAUGCCUAUCCACAGCUAUGUUUCAGAUGCUCUCAUAGUAAGGAAGAAAUAAGGUGCUAAAGAUUUGGCAGUUGAGGACAUGAGGAAGAUACGCUGGAGAAGG